GAUGAACGCUGGCGGCGUGCCUAAUACAUGCAAGUCGAGCGAACAGACGAGGAGCUUGUUCCUCUGACGUUAGCGGCGGACGGGUGAGUAACACGUGGAUAACCUACCUAUAAGACUGGGAUAACUUCGGGAAACCGGAGCUAAUACCGGAUAAUAUAUUGAACCGCAUGGUUCAAUAGUGAAAGACGGUUUUGCUGUCACUUAUAGAUGGAUCCGCGCCGCAUUAGCUAGUUGGUAAGGUAACGGCUUACCAAGGCGACGAUGCGUAGCCGACCUGAGAGGGUGAUCGGCCACACGGGAACGGAGACACGGUCCAGACUCCUACGGGAGGCAGCAGUAGGGAAUCUUCCGCAAUGGGCGAAAGCCUGACGGAGCAACGCCGCGUGAGUGAUGAAGGUCUUCGGAUCGUAAAACUCUGUUAUUAGGGAAAAACAAAUGUGUAAGUAACUAUGCACGUCUUGACGGUACCUAAUCAGAAAGCCACGGCUAACUACGUG
rnacentral:rRNA from 1 species